ensembl:miRNA
GGGGCUUGGGAGGGUCUCAGAAGCAGGAACUUUUGCUCCUUUCCUCUGAGAUCUUGCUAGGCGCUCCC